AGGAUGAACGCUGGCGGUCUGCUUAACACAUGCAAGUCGAACGGAGUACCUCGGUACUUAGUGGCGGACGGGUGAGUAACGCGUGAGAAUCUGCCCUUAGGUCGGGGACAACCAUUGGAAACGAUGGCUAAUACCGGAUAAGCCGAGAGGUAAAAGAUUAAUUGCCUAGGGAAGAGCUCGCGUCUGAUUAGCUAGUUGGUGAGGUAAAGGCUCACCAAGGCAUCGAUCAGUAGCUGGUCUGAGAGGAUGAUCAGCCACACUGGGACUGAGACACGGCCCAGACUCCUACGGGAGGCAGCAGUGGGGAAUUUUCCGCAAUGGGCGAAAGCCUGACGGGGCAAGACCGCGUGAGGGAGGAAGGCUCUUGGGUUGUAAACCUCUUUUCGUUGGGAAGAACGAAAAUGAACGGUACCCAAGGAAUCAGCAGUCGGCUAACUCCGUGCCUAGCAGCCGC
rnacentral:rRNA from 1 species